CAAUCUCAGAGUUUCAAGUUAAAGUCAAGAAAUGUAUGCAAAAUCAAAAAGUAGAUGAUCUCGGCGGUUCUUGCUAGAUGGCUAUAGAUGAUCUUGUGGUUUUGUUUUAAUGAUUGGUAGAGGUAUAGUAUGUCUUGAAGCAUUCAAUGAAGCAGCUAUUAGUCACUGAAAACAAGUUAACUUCAGACAAUCAGUUCCUUCUCCCUCCCCCCUUUUCUUUAUUUGGAUUAGAUCUACUGAUCCAUCACGUUAGUACAAACAAAAUGAAUUGUCCUGUCAAGUAAUGCCUACACCUAAACUGACAUUUCAAACAAAACCAAUUGAAUGAAUGGAAACAGGUCUACAUGACAUGAGGCUUUCCUGCACUGCAAUGUUUUCUUCCCUGUGGGCUCUAAUGAGAUGAGUUGUGCUUACGUCUUCGGCUAAUCUGCCUGUGAGAAGCAAGGGAGGGUCAACUGGUAAAAUCCUUAUAAGAGCGGAGGAUCCACUUUAUAGGACAAAUGCACACUAGUCUAUCACCUCAAGCAAUGGUUUCUUAUAAGUGUGAGAAAUCAUUUGGAACAAAUCGAAUUUUUAAAUACAGCAAAUAGGAAAUAUUUACAGGUCAGAAAAAGAAAAAGUCUUCCUACAGCUCUCUGUCUAACAUACUGAAACAACUGUAGUGUUCAACAGUGGAGAUGGAUCUUAUGGUGGAUCUGAAGUCCUUUGGGGAUCCCAUCAAGCAGUUCAGCGACUACGUGUCGGGGACAGUGGCCAAACCGGAUAACAAACAAGAAGCCAAAAAGAGUACAGGAACCCGAAGGAAGAGUAUAGUCAUUAGCACGGGGGCCCGACGAAAGAGCGUAGUUUUGAGCACAGGGGCCCCCAAGAAGAGCAUAGUUGCCAGCACGGGGGCCCGACGGAAGAGCGUAGUUUUAAGCACAGGGGCCCCAAAGAAGAGCACAGUUGCCAGCACGGGGGCCCGACGAAAGAGCAUUGUUGGAGUCCGAAGACACAGUAUAGCCAGAAGGAAGAGUGCUCCUUGCGCUAAAACUUGUGCUAACCAGAGAACUGUACCAGACUCCUGGCUUAGAGUAUACCAGGCUGACAUUCAAAGAGAACGGAAACUGAGAGAGAAGAAGAUUGCAGAGAGAUCCGUCAGAAGGAAGAGCCAGCAUUUCAGGAGCCAGCAUUGCCUUCCUAAGAGUAAGCCUAACCCAAAUGCCAAGAGGAACCAGAAAUCGACCAAGGAUGAUUCAUUGUUUGGUGCUUUCCAGGGGCUUAGUCUCAACGUGACAGGAGGCACCCAGAGCUCAUUGACCUCAGGCGGGGACCAGUGUAAGGUCAUGUGAGAGACUCAUCACCUGUACUUGAUUACCAGGCUUUGCUCACGUGCAUGAAAGCUUGGCAGAGGCUAGACUGUCACCUAACAUUUUAAUCGCGUCCAUGAGCCGGUUCUUUUGGUCGAACCUACAUAUUUUGGCAGUAGCAAUUGAACCUGCGGAACAAGGUUAACUGCACUUGGCCUGAAAAGAUAGAAGAUGAACUACAAAAAACACAACCUAAAUGUGUGAUGUGCUGAUAGGAAAUGACAAUGAAGCCAAAGUCCUAAAGCUUGAUUCAAGAUUAAGUCUGAGGGAAUGUGAAUAUACAUUUCUAUCACUUGAUCGAUUCUUUAUGCAGUAAGAGAACACUCAUUAGUGCUGAUAAUAGUUCUGCUUGUCAUGAGCUUGUGUUGGUAUUUUCUGUUCCAGAAUAAAUUACGGCAGGGGUAUUCAGAUCUGGACCCCAAAUCCACUUUCACUCUAAUUUCUUUAUUGUAACACUAAUCAGGGACUUAUGUAGACCUUGGACACAAGAUUGGUGCACUUAGUGAUCAGGUAGAACCGUGUAGGGUAAGACUUGAAUGCCCCUGAUUUACAGUGUCAAGGCCCCGGACAUGAAUACUAUUGUUGUAUCCUAUAUGUGCAGACGUGAUAACGUAAUUGAAUUUGAUUUACAUUUUCAUCAACUUUAAGUAAAUGUACGUGUGUGUGUGUGUGUAUUGUUUUGCACAAUUUUAAAUGUAUAUUUGUCUUUUCCAAAACACAUUUAAAUGAAAUGUUGCACAAAACUAGUAGUCAUUUUGUCUCACAGAACAAUCAGUCUGCCAAAUGUAUAAAGUGAUCAUACUGAAAUGACAUUCAUAUUAUGUUUUUUGUUCCUUAAGAGUUCAACUGAAAAAACUGACUAAACCUUCAAAGCCAACUCUCAAUAAGGUAGUUAACGUAAAUAUGGGACACUCCAUUUGUAUGUCAUGUUUAGGCUGUCCAGUAGGGGUGUUGGUGAGAGUACGGCUAGUUGUUGAAG
ensembl:lncRNA